UUGUUUCCAAGACUAGCAUGCACGUCUAAGUACAAACUAAAUGAUGGUGAACUGCAAUGGCUCAUUACAACGGUUAUGAUGUACCUGGGAGUUCCGAUGGAUAUUUCCAGUAACACUAGAACUAAUACAUGUCCCUGCGUUUAUUAGUUUCGCACAGUCCGUCGCUGAGUCAUGGUAAACAGUUGAUCGACUCGACGUCCCGGAACAGUUUCCGCCCCAUCAGCUUCGAUGGUUGGGUAUUGGCCUACCAUUGCAACAACGGGUAACGAGGAAUUAGGGUUUGAUUUCGGAGAGGGAGCCUGAGAAACGGCUACCACAUCUACGGAUGGCAGCAGGCGCGCAAAUUACCCAAUGCAGACCCUGUGAGGUAGUGACGAGAAAUAAUAAAGCGGGACUUCUGUUUCGCUAUUAAAAUGGAGGAAAAACCAAAGGUCAUUCCGAUUAGCAACUGAUGGGAAAAGUCUGGUGCCAGCCAGCCGCGGGUAAUACCAGCGUCAGUA
rnacentral:rRNA from 1 species